UACGUAGGGUGCAGGCGUUAAUCGGAAUUACUGGGCGUAAAGCGUGCGCAGGCGGUCUUUUAAGUCAGAUGUGAAAUCCCCGGGCUUAACCUGGGAACUGCGUUUGAAACUGGAAGGCUAGAGUGUGGCAGAGGGGGGUGGAAUUCCACGUGUAACAGUGAAAUGCGUAGAUAUGUGGAGGAACACCGAUGGCGAAGGCAGCCCCCUGGGCUAACACUGACGCUCAUGCACGAAAGCGUGGGGAGCAAACAGG
rnacentral:rRNA from 1 species